UACAGAGGGUGCGAGCGUUGUUCGGAAUUAUUGGGCGUAAAGCGCUUGUAGGCGGCACGUCAAGUCGCGUGUGAAAUCCCCAGGCUUAACCUGGGAAGUGCGCGCGAAACUGACGAGCUUGAGUGCCGGAGAGGGUCGCGGAAUUCCCGGUGUAGAGGUGAAAUUCGUAGAUAUCGGGAGGAACACCAGUGGCGAAGGCGGCGACCUGGUCCGAUACUGACGCUGAGGCGCGAAAGCGUGGGGAGCAAACAGG
rnacentral:rRNA from 1 species